rnacentral:rRNA from 1 species
UACGAGAGGCCCAAACGUUAUUCGGAAUUACUGGGCUUACAGAGUUCGUAGGCGGCUCAGAGAGUUGGGUGUGAAAUCCCUCGGCUCAACCGAGGAAUUGCGCUCAAAACUACUGAGCUUGAGGGUAUGAGAGGUAAGCGGGAACUGAUGGUGGAGCGGUGAAAUGCGAUUGAUUAUCAUCAGGAAGCACCGGUGGCGAAGGCGGCGUUACUGGGUACCGUC